rnacentral:rRNA from 1 species
UACGGAGGAUGCAAGCGUUAUCCGGAAUGAUUGGGCGUAAAGCGUCCGCAGGUGGCAAUGUAAGUCUGCUGUUAAAGAGUCUAGCUCAACUAGAUAAAAGCAGUGGAAACUACAUAGCUAGAGUACGUUCGGGGCAGAGGGAAUUCCUGGUGUAGCGGUGAAAUGCGUAGAGAUCAGGAAGAACACCAGUGGCGAAGGCGCUCUGCUAGGCCGUAACUGACACUGAGGGACGAAAGCUAGGGUAGCAAACGGG